UACGUAGGGUGCGAGCGUUGUCCGGAAUUAUUGGGCGUAAAGAGCUCGUAGGCGGUGUGUCACGUCGGCCGUGAAAACCUGCAGCUUAACUGUGGGCGUGCGGUCGAUACGGGCAUCACUGGAGUUCGGCAGGGGAGACUGGAAUUCCUGGUGUAGCGGUGAAAUGCGCAGAUAUCAGGAGGAACACCGGUGGCGAAGGCGGGUCUCUGGGCCGGUACUGACGCUGAGGCGCGAAAGCGUGGGUAGCAAACGGG
rnacentral:rRNA from 1 species